rnacentral:lncRNA from 1 species
GGGGGGGAGAAGUUGGGGGACUAGAGGAGCGAAGGAGUCAGUGCUGAACGCGGCCCGGAAGGGUAGCAGCAGACGUCCCUCAGGCUCAUAGGGACCCGCCCCAGCCCUUGUGACCGUCCUUCUCGGCUCCCUCCCAACCCCGGGCUGCCCAGCGUGCCUGUCCCUCGGCCACUCUCUCCUGUCUCCGUCCAUCUCUUUCACCGCUGAAGUGUGUUUAGAUGGCUGCGCCAAGAAAAGGGUAACCAGAUUGUCCUCGGUCAUCUCCCUCAUAGCUCUUCCAGGUUAUAGCUUCCAUCAACAAGAACAGAAAUCCUGAAGGGGAAACUGAGGCACGGAGUCCUGACCCGAGAUGAGUCUGAGAAGAAGUCUCACCCGAUUCUCUCCUCGGUCACUUCAGUCCCUCCCUACUCCAGACGGAUGCUGCAAGGGUCUCUCCGCCCUCAGAAGGGAGUGGAUCUGCGUCUGCACCGGGCGGGACCUGCACUCGAGGAGCCGGACCCUUUCCCUAGCGCCCGGGUCCUAGAGGAGCGUGGCUUGGCCCUCCUCUCAAGAGCUCGCCCGGCUUAGCAGCGGACCUCUUCGCCGGUCCUCGCGCACCCUCUGCCGGCGCCUCUCAGGAAACGCGCUCGCUGUCCCCGCCCUGGAUAUUCCCGUCCCGUAGGACAGACGGAGGGCAGCCGGGAGCUCUGCAUGCCCCUGCUUUUGGAACACUCCUUGCACCAAGAUUCCAGAAAAUUCCUUUGUCUAUUCAAAACUGGAGGAGCGAGGACAAGAGAGCUGAACUUGAGGCAGGCCAGGCUCGGAGCAUAUGGGUCAGUCAUCCAUCACCUGCCACCUCCCUAGAGACCUUGGCAGGCCAGGGCAGUCAGCGUCAACUCUCUCUGCAGAUUUGAGGGACGAGAGGAAAGGAGGGGAGACAAAAGGCUCAGUGAGAUCUGUGCGGAGCGGAACAAGGGAAUCAGCUGGGCGGAAUCACGGAGACCUGAGUGACAUUCAUCUCUGACACAUGUUGCAUGACUUGGGACAAUAAAAAGAACCUCUCUGGGAC